GGAGCUUGCUCCACCGAAAGAAAAGGAGUGGCGAACGGGUGAGUAACACGUGGGUAACCUGCCCAUCAGAAGGGGAUAACACUUGGAAACAGGUGCUAAUACCGUAUAACAAUCGAAACCGCAUGGUUUCGGUUUGAAAGGCGCUUUUGCGUCACUGAUGGAUGGACCCGCGGUGCAUUAGCUAGUUGGUGAGGUAACGGCUCACCAAGGCAACGAUGCAUAGCCGACCUGAGAGGGUGAUCGGCCACAUUGGGACUGAGACACGGCCCAAACUCCUACGGGAGGCAGCAGUAGGGAAUCUUCGGCAAUGGACGAAAGUCUGACCGAGCAACGCCGCGUGAGUGAAGAAGGUUUUCGGAUCGUAAAACUCUGUUGUUAGAGAAGAACAAGGAUGAGAGUAGAAAGUUCAUCCCUUGACGGUAUCUAACCAGAAAGCCACGGCUAACUACGUGCCAGCAGCCGCGGUAAUACGUAGGUGGCAAGCGUUGUCCGGAUUUAUUGGGCGUAAAGCGAGCGCAG
rnacentral:rRNA from 1 species